GCGGCCAUUAGGGAGCGCCUCGGUCGCGCCCCA
rnacentral:sRNA from 1 species